UACGAAGGGGGCUAGCGUUGUUCGGAAUCACUGGGCGUAAAGGGCGCGUAGGCGGCUUUGUCAGUCGGGGGUGAAAGCCUGUGGCUCAACCACAGAAUUGCCUUCGAUACUGCAGGGCUUGAGACCGGAAGAGGUCAGUGGAACUGCGAGUGUAGAGGUGAAAUUCGUAGAUAUUCGCAAGAACACCAGUGGCGAAGGCGGCUGACUGGUCCGGAUCUGACGCUGAGGCGCGAAAGCGUGGGGAGCAAACAGG
rnacentral:rRNA from 1 species